GAAUGCCAAGGUGUGUCACUGGUGCUAGUCCCACAACUAGGAAAAAGAAAGUCAGAUUGCAAAACCAGCAUUGCCUGCCUUUACCUGGUAGCCCCUGCUGCCUUCCAGGCCCGCAGUUUCUCUGGGUCUCCUCCUUGGUGAGAUUUCUGGACACCUGCAGGCACUAAUAGUUUCCAGUUUGAGUGCUCACAUAAACUCCUUACAGGUAUCUGUUAACACAGUCUCAUGGUAUUAUCAUUAUGUGUAUGUACGUUUCGUAAUAGAGCUAUUUAUUUCUAUAUUCCUAGUGACCCUUCCAAGAGCUCCUUCUGGUUUGGAAAAGGUGGGAUAGACCAUCUGGCCUUCCCUAGUGAGGACCUGGAUUGCUGGUGGUGGUGGUAUGGGGUUGGCAGGCAAAGCCAUCUUGAAGGAGGCAGCUUCAGCAUCAGCCUCCAUUGUGUGAUUCCAGGCAAAUAGCUCAGUCCCAUUAACAAGGGGCAAAUCCUCUUCCUGAGUCGGGGAGAAAGGUUUAAACAUACAACGAGAGAGAACUGUUGCUUUAAGUAGCCUUGACAAGGGGCAUUAGAUCCUCUCUAAGGUUCUGUCCAGCUCAAUGAUUCUAGAAUCUUCAUUAUCUUGAGCUGAAGAUGGUUGGAAGCUGGGCUGAAAAACCUCAGCAGAGAGGAGAAAAGAGGGGAAAAUGAGAUGGUUUAUAAAAUAAGCAUGGGAGAGGAAAUCAGAGGAAAGAGGCUAUAAUUAUAGGUCAAACACCAGCUCCGGAAGCAGCGAAGGCAGCAGAGAGUUUAUGGCUCCCUGCCCUCUUCCGGGUUGCACCCUGGACAUCUCCUCGCUCUUUCCUCGGGCCGAGCAACUUUGGGAUGCGGGCAAAGCAAUUGAAGAAAUGGAAAAAUAAAGACGUUUAGUAGCGUGCCCAAGCCAGUCAGAGAAAUCUGUUCUAUGCUGCCUGGGCUUCUAUGUGCCUAGAAAAAGAAGAAAGUGAGACCCAUCUGAGACACCAGAGAGGUACUCUCCUAGUAUCCAGGGUGAGAAGUACAUUAGCCUGAGUCCCUGGUUUGUCAAACAUUGGACACUUCGUUGACAACUGACUUUGUCACCUGGAACUUCAUGAAGUCGAUUUCCCUGAGUGUCUAAGUUUCCUUCUUUUACAUCAACAAUCUAGCCUUCAUUUUCUUUUGCAUGUGCCAAAGUACAUACAGUAGGUGGGAAAGAGCCAGAGAUGUGUAUAACGUACUCCAUUUUUUCAAGUGUUUAUGGUUGUAAAUAAAAUUACUUUUAAGUCUCCA
rnacentral:lncRNA from 1 species